GGGGUGGUAGUCUAGCUUGGUCAGGACCCAGCGUUCGGGGCGCUGAGACCGGAGUUCAAAUCUCCGCCACCUCA
rnacentral:tRNA from 1 species